rnacentral:lncRNA from 1 species
AGGCUCCGACACGGGCUCUGGCCCCCGGCCUGGCUUGGCGGCCCGGCCGGGUCCCCUCGGCGCGGGAUGGGCACGGACCCUCAGCAUCAGCCGAGAUGGCAGGCGGGCUGGAGACCCCGAGGCCCGGUCACCGCCGCGCAGAGCGUGGCCGCCUCGCUGCUCCAGCACGGCUCGCCCAGGGCCGACUGGGGCGGCUUGGACCCCCCUCCCACCCACCCCACCCACCCACCCCUCCCCCACACCCCCGCCCCCUGCCCUUCCCGAGGGCAGCAGCCGCGGCCCGGAGAUAAGCGCUAGUGCGGCGCCGGGCUCUGCCUGGGCUAGUGGCACCGACUUGGGAAAAGGAAACGCCAAGACAUAGAAAACCACGCUUUUCCCGUAGGAAGAACCGAUGAUGAGCCCUGAUGAAAGAAGGAAGAAGACCCGCUGUCUGCGAAGGCCUAAAGGCCGCGGUUGCCAGGAACCGUGGAGGGCCAACUCCUCCCAACCGCCCUGGUGCAAAGUCCCACGCGGCGAAGAGUUUUGGAGCAGCGCUUACCUAGAAAGAUGUUUAAAUUCUGAACCAGGAAUUGUCUCCAACUCCAGGCGCUCAGGGAAUCGCCUUUUCCGGUGUCCAGGCGCUCUGCAGACAAAUAAACAGCAGAAGCAAAUGGUCACCGAGCCGGCAGUCAGCUUUCUGGGAGUGGGAGAUGAUGGGGAAAGAGGAAAGAAUCGUCCGCUCGCCGGACCCUGGCUUGGAGAAGUUCUGCGCUCCGCUGGGACUCUGCGGGCCCUUUGCGUCUACAGACCUAUCCCUGCCCCGACUACCCCUUCACUCAGACCCAGGUAACCUCUUACCCCAGCCUGCCCCAAACCAGCCCUCCGCUGUCUGUCUGCCUUCACGCAAUUCUGUAGAUAGCGCUAAGAGGGGAUAUCAAAUAGCUGAGGAGUCCCCUGACCCCUGGCUUCGGAGCCCCCUAGCACGUGGAACAAGUGGCCGCACACCGGUAGCUGCGCUCUGCCACAGUUCGACCCGUAGCCCCCACAAACCAAAGGAAAAGGACCCAGGAUCCACGCUGCGCGCUGCGCCCCCUUUCUCUUGUUCAAACUUGCUUUCUGUGUCCCCAAAGGGAGUGCCCCCUGGUCUUGGGGCUCCUGGCAUGACCAUGAGCAAGGUGGACUCAGCCAUCCUGCACUUUGCCUCUCAAUUUCAUUCCAGAAAGAUCCGCUAUGCCGCCACCCACCACUCCCCUGCGUGACACUUAGGAGUAUGUAAUUAUUAUGGUUAUUAUUUUUGCUGUUUCCUUAUCUCCAAGUCUAAUAUUCAUGGCUGCUGUACCCCAUAAAUCGUUCAGACUAAUGAGUCACAGAGAGAUGCUGCCCAGGUCUCUCACUUUACAAUGGCUGCCGCCGCCGCCGUGGCCUCUCUCUCCGCGUUUUUGGCGCUCGCUUGCUCCCUCGCUCGCCCGGCGCGGGUGAUUUAUGAACGCCGGGAAAAUUGAACAAAGCCGCGCGCCCGUCCUGUGGUAUCUCUGCAGCCUUCCCCAGCGUGAAUCAGAACAUUACCAACUGUCUGCGCAUCCGUCCCACUUCAUCACCAAAGCCAGGAUGUGACCGCAGAAAACCCAAGCCCGAACUCACGUUUCCCCGGACGCGGCGCGCUCCCUGGACUCGCAGAAACCCUGCGGAAAAGGCCCCAAGAUCUGGUGAGGGCCUGCCAGCUCCGUCCUCCCUGCCGAGGGCUCUCUCCUGCCUUCCUGAAGGAGUUAAAAGCCUUUGGAGAUAAAUCUGAGGGUGUGUGUUUUUAAAAAUCAAAUGGGAAGGACACGUUUCUAUGCCUUACAGAGACUUGAAGCCUGAAAGCCUGGCCAAGUUUGGGAAGAAGAGGAGCCCUCUCAGAGCUCAAGAGCCUUCCUACUCUUUGGAACUUUUCCACAGUAGGCCAAGCUUGACAAGAGUUCAGCUCAAGUUGAACAUACAUACACACACUCUCACACACAAAUUAUGUGAGCCGUCAGAAUCCAAGUGAAUCCAGCUCAAGCUAUCUACAAGGUUUUUACAUGCAAGGUCAAGUAUCUCAAUCCAGAGGACUUUUGUUUUCUUAAUGAAAAGCUUAGAAAACACAUGAAUCUUAGAUUUUUAAUGUUUUUUAAAUGGAGUUUAUUCUUAGCACAUGGCUUUCUAUGUAGCCACAUCACAAUUUGUACAGUUCCACAUAAGUCUAAAUGCACUCCCCUCUCCCCAAAGACCGUGCCCCAGAAGGGGACAACAGUAUCUCUGUAACAGUGUCUUAAAUAAAUGCAAGUAAGAAAAACUAACAUGUCACACCUACCAUCAAGGUCUACACAUCUUAAGAAUUAAAUAAUCUUGUGAGGUC